GACAAACGCUGGCGGCGUGCUUAACACAUGCAAGUCGAACGGAAAGGCCCUGCUUUUGUGGGGUGCUCGAGUGGCGAACGGGUGAGUAACACGUGAGUAACCUGCCCUUGACUUUGGGAUAACUUCAGGAAACUGGGGCUAAUACCGGAUAGGAGCUCCUGCUGCAUGGUGGGGGUUGGAAAGUUUCGGCGGUUGGGGAUGGACUCGCGGCUUAUCAGCUUGUUGGUGGGGUAGUGGCUUACCAAGGCUUUGACGGGUAGCCGGCCUGAGAGGGUGACCAGCCACAUUGGGACUGAGAUACGGCCCAGACUCCUACGGGAGGCAGCAGUGGGGAAUAUUGCACAAUGGGCGGAAGCCUGAUGCAGCAACGCCGCGUGCGGGAUGACGGCCUUCGGGUUGUAAACCGCUUUCGCCUGUGACGAAGCGUGAGUGACGGUAAUGGGUAAAGAAGCACCGGCUAACUACGUG
rnacentral:rRNA from 1 species